rnacentral:rRNA from 1 species
AUACGGAGGGUGCAAGCGUUACUCGGAAUCACUGGGCGUAAAGCGCGCGCAGGCGGGCUGAUAAGUUGGAUGUGAAAGCCUACGGCUCAACCGUAGAACUGCAUCCAAAACUGUCAGUCUAGAGUGUGGGAGAGGAAGAUGGAAUUAGUUGUGUAGGGGUAAAAUCCGUAGAGAUAACUAGGAAUACCAAAAGCGAAGGCAAUCUUCUGGAACACUACUGACGCUGAGGCGCGAAGGCGCGGGGAGCAAACAGGAUUAGAUACCCCAGUAGUCC